rnacentral:rRNA from 1 species
AGAGUUUGAUCCUGGCUCAGAACGAACGCUGGCGGCGUGCUUAACACAUGCAAGUCGAACGCGAACGAGUUCUUCGGAACUUUAGUAGAGUGGCGCACGGGUGAGUAACGCGUAAGUAAUCUACCCUCGCAUCUGGGAUAACCCACCGAAAGGUGUGCUAAUACCGGAUACGUCUAAGUUAGUAGGGGUGUUUUUAGAGAAAGGUGGCCUCUGAUUCAAGCUACUGUGCGGGGAGGAGCUUGCGUACCAUUAGCUAGUUGGUAGGGUAACGGCCUACCAAGGCGACGAUGGUUAGCGGGUCUGAGAGGAUGAUCCGCCACACUGGAACUGAAACACGGACCAGACUCCUACGGGAGGCAGCAGUGAGGAAUAUUGCGCAAUGGGGGCAACCCUGACGCAGCGACGCCGCGUGGAUGAUGAAGGCCUUCGGGUUGUAAAAUCCUGUCAGAUGGGAAGAAGUGCUAUAUGGUUAAUAUCUGUAUAGUUUGACGGUACCAUCAAAGGAAGCACCGGCUAACUCCGUGCCAGCAGCCGCGGUAAUACGGAGGGUGCAAGCGUUGUUCGGAAUUACUGGGCGUAAAGCGCGCGUAGGCGGCUAUGUAAGUCAGAUGUGAAAGCCCGCGGCUCAACCGUGGAAGUGCAUUUGAAACUGUAUAGCUUGAGUACUGGAGGGGGGUAGUGGAAUUUCCCGGUUGUAAA